rnacentral:rRNA from 1 species
UACGUAGAGUGCAAGCGUUGUCCGGAAUUAUUGGGCGUAAAGAGCUCGUAGGCGGCUUGUCACGUCGGAUGUGAAAGCCCGGGGCUUAACUCCGGGUCUGCAUUCGAUACGGGCUAGCUAGAGUGUGGUAGGGGAGAUCGGAAUUCCUGGUGUAGCGGUGAAAUGCGCAGAUAUCAGGAAGAACACCCGUGGCGAAGGCGGCUCUCUGGAACGCAACUGACGCUGAGACGCGAAAGCGUGGGGAGCGAACAGG